rnacentral:rRNA from 1 species
ACGGGUGCGUAACGCGUGGGAAUCUGCCCUUGGGUUCGGAAUAACAGUUAGAAAUGACUGCUAAUACCGGAUGAUGACUUCGGUCCAAAGAUUUAUCGCCCAAGGAUGAGCCCGCGUCGGAUUAGCUAGUUGGUGAGGUAAAGGCUCACCAAGGCGACGAUCCGUAGCUGGUCUGAGAGGAUGAUCAGCCACACUGGGACUGAGACACGGCCCAGACUCCUACGGGAGGCAGCAGUGGGGAAUAUUGGACAAUGGGCGAAAGCCUGAUCCAGCAAUGCCGCGUGAGUGAUGAAGGCCUUAGGGUUGUAAAGCUCUUUUACCCGGGAUGAUAAUGACAGUACCGGGAGAAUAAGCCCCGGCUAACUCCGUGCCAGCAGCCGCGGUAAUACGGAGGGGGCUAGCGUUGUUCGGAAUUACUGGGCGUAAAGCGCACGUAGGCGGCUUUGCAAGUCAGAGGUGAAAGCCCGGGGCUCAACCCCGGAAUAGCCUUUGAGACUGCAUCGCUUGAACAUCGGAGAGGUAAGUGGAAUUCCGAGUGUAGAGGUGAAAUUCGUAGA